UGAACGACUCUCGGCAACGGAUAUCUCGGCUCUUGCAUCGAUGAAGAACGUAGCGAAAUGCGAUACUUGGUGUGAAUUGCAGAAUCCCGUGAACCAUCGAGUCUUUGAACGCAAGUUGCGCCCUAGGCCUUCUGGUCGAGGGCANUUUUUUCUGGGCGUCACGC
rnacentral:rRNA from 1 species